GACGAACGCUGGCGGCGUGCUUAACACAUGCAAGUCGAACGGAAAGGCCCUGCUUUUGUGGGGUGCUCGAGUGGCGAACGGGUGAGUAACACGUGAGUAACCUGCCCUUGACUUUGGGAUAACUUCAGGAAACUGGGGCUAAUACCGGAUAGGAGCUCCUGCUGCAUGGUGGGGGUUGGAAAGUUUCGGCGGUUGGGGAUGGACUCGCGGCUUAUCAGCUUGUUGGUGGGGUAGUGGCUUACCAAGGCUUUGACGGGUAGCCGGCCUGAGAGGGUGACCGGCCACAUUGGGACUGAGAUACGGCCCAGACUCCUACGGGAGGCAGCAGUGGGGAAUAUUGCACAAUGGGCGGAAGCCUGAUGCAGCAACGCCGCGUGCGGGAUGACGGCCUUCGGGUUGUAAACCGCUUUCGCCUGUGACGAAGCGUGAGUGACGGUAAUGGGUAAAGAAGCACCGGCUAACUACGUGCCAGCAGCCGCGGUGAUACGUAGGGUGCGAGCGUUGUCCGGAUUUAUUGGGCGUAAAGGGCUCGUAGGUGGUUGAUCGCGUCGGAAGUGUAAUCUUGGGGCUUAACCCUGAGCGUGCUUUCGAUACGGGUUGACUUGAGGAAGGGUAGGGGAGAAUGGAAUUCCUGGUGGAGCGGUGGAAUGCGCAGAUAUCAGGAGGAACACCAGUGGCGAAGGCGGUUCUCUGGGCCUUUCCUGACGCUGAGGAGCGAAAGCGUGGGGAGCGAACAGGCUUAGAUACCCUGGUAGUCCACGCUGUAAACGGUGGGUACUAGGUGUGGGGUCCAUUCCACGGGUUCCGUGCCGUAGCUAACGCUUUAAGUACCCCGCCUGGGGAGUACGGCCGCAAGGCUAAAACUCAAAGGAAUUGACGGGGCCCCGCACAAGCGGCGGAGCAUGCGGAUUAAUUCGAUGCAACGCGUAGAACCUUACCUGGGUUUGACAUGGAUCGGGAGCGCUCAGAGAUGGGUGUGCCUCUUUUGGGGUCGGUUCACAGGUGGUGCAUGGCUGUCGUCAGCUCGUGUCGUGAGAUGUUGGGUUAAGUCCCGCAACGAGCGCAACCCUUGUUCACUGUUGCCAGCACGUUAUGGUGGGGACUCAGUGGAGACCGCCGGGGUCAACUCGGAGGAAGGUGGGGAUGACGUCAAGUCAUCAUGCCCCUUAUGUCCAGGGCUUCACGCAUGCUACAAUGGCUGGUACAGAGAGUGGCGAGCCUGUGAGGGUGAGCGAAUCUCGGAAAGCCGGUCUCAGUUCGGAUUGGGGUCUGCAACUCGACCUCAUGAAGUCGGAGUCGCUAGUAAUCGCAGAUCAGCAACACUGCGGUGAAUACGUUCCCGGGGCU
rnacentral:rRNA from 1 species